UCCGAUAUGGUGUAGUGGCUAACAUUAUCGCCUCUCACGUGUACUUUGCCACUGUGUCAACGCGAUAGCCCGGGGUUCAAUUCCCCGUGUCGGAA
rfam:Phlebia centrifuga strain FBCC195 PHLCENscaffold_2423, whole genome shotgun sequence.